rnacentral:rRNA from 1 species
AUGAACGCUGGCGGCGUGCCUAAUACAUGCAAGUCGAGCGGACGGACGAGAAGCUUGCUUCUCUGAUGUUAGCGGCGGACGGGUGAGUAACACGUGGAUAACCUACCUAUAAGACUGGGAUAACUUCGGGAAACCGGAGCUAAUACCGGAUAAUAUUUUGAACCGCAUGGUUCAAAAGUGAAAGACGGUCUUGCUGUCACUUAUAGAUGGAUCCGCGCUGCAUUAGCUAGUUGGUAAGGUAACGGCUUACCAAGGCAACGAUGCAUAGCCGACCUGAGAGGGUGAUCGGCCGCACUGGAACUGAGACACGGUCCAGACUCCUACGGGAGGCAGCAGUAGGGAAUCUUCCGCAAUGGGCGAAAGCCUGACGGAGCAACGCCGCGUGAGUGAUGAAGGUCUUCGGAUCGUAAAACUCUGUUAUUAGGGAAGAACAUAUGUGUAAGUAACUGUGCACAUCUUGACGGUACCUAAUCAGAAAGCCACGGCUAACUACGUG